AUUGAACGCUGGCGGCAUGCCUUACACAUGCAAGUCGAACGGUAACAGGUCUUCGGCUGCUGACGAGUGGCGAACGGGUGAGUAAUACAUCGGAACGUGCCCGAUCGUGGGGGAUAACGGAGCGAAAGCUUUGCUAAUACCGCAUACGAUCUACGGAUGAAAGCAGGGGACCGCAAGGCCUUGCGCGGACGGAGCGGCCGAUGGCAGAUUAGGUAGUUGGUGGGAUAAAAGCUUACCAAGCCGACGAUCUGUAGCUGGUCUGAGAGGACGACCAGCCACACGGGGACUGAGACACGGCCCAGACUCCUACGGGAGGCAGCAGUGGGGAAUUUUGGACAAUGGGCGCAAGCCUGAUCCAGCCAUGCCGCGUGCAGGAUGAAGGCCUUCGGGUUGUAAACUGCUUUUGUACGGAACGAAAAGGUCUUUUCUAAUAAAGAAGACUGAUGACGGUACCGUAAGAAUAAGCACCGGCUAACUACGUGCCAGCCGCCGCGGUAAUAC
rnacentral:rRNA from 1 species